rnacentral:rRNA from 1 species
UACGUAGGGUGCGAGCGUUAAUCGGAAUUACUGGGCGUAAAGCGUGCGCAGGCGGUUUUGUAAGCCAGAUGUGAAAGCCCCGGGCUUAACCUGGGAAUGGCAUUUGGGACUGCAAGGCUUGAGUGCGGCAGAGGAGACUGGAAUUCCAGGUGUAGCGGUGAAAUGCGUAGAUAUCUGGAGGAACACCGGUGGCGAAGGCGGCAUCCUGGACCAAUAUUGACGCUGAGGAGCGAAAGCCAGGGGAGCAAACGGG